rnacentral:misc_RNA from 1 species
GCAAAAUUUUGGCGGAGCCUUAAUCCUAAAAUGAUGCAAAAAUUUCUUUUAUCACUUUCAUGUCAAAAUUUCGUUUCAAUCCACUGGGUACUUUUAAAUAUGGGGAAAAUAUAAUUAGGUACCACAUGGUUUCAUGCUUUUAGUUUUCAGAACUUGAGGAAUUUUUCGUUGCAAUUCAAGAUAUGUGGUUCACACUGUUAGCACUUAGGUAACAAAAUGGCUAACAGUGUUAAAAAUGUUGCCAUGGCAUAUUGAAAAAGAAAAUCCCACUAGAUUAAAAUUUAAAAGAUUAAUAAUUAAAAUAGUGGAUCCCAUAGGACUUAAAAUUUUAAAUUAUAAUUAUUAAAAUUAUGAGUGAAUUACCUUAAGGUGCUUAAAAAUUUUUAUUAUUUAAAAAAUUCAUCCCCGUGCUCAACAAGUUGGUCUCUCAAUAUUAUGAUUGUUUACAAAUAGGUCCUUUUAUUUUGACAAGCUAAUCCUUUAAUAUUACCAUUGUUGACAAAUUGAUCCUUGUAUGUUUCUUCCCUCUCUCUCUCUCUUUCUCGCUCUCUCUACCCCCUAUGUCUUUCUCAUGUCUCUGUCCCUCUCGUUAUCUCUUUAUCUCUCUCUCCCUCCGCUAUAUGUCUCCCUCUCCUUCCCCUGUCUCACUCCCCAUUUUCUCUCUCCCCAAAACAAAUCCAAAUACAGAAAAAAUAUGCCGCUCUUAUAAAAUAACCCAAAUGGCAAAUAUUGUUCACCCAACAAAUGGGAUAAGAAUCAUUAACAGCAAAACUGCUGCAAGAGCUCCAAUUAGUAUAUGAAGGUUGCCGAUGAUUGCACCAUAAGUUGAGUUCUGAGCUCGUUUCCUCAUCAGGUUGUUGUUUUCUUAUUGUUAUUCAAGGGUUUGUGCU